GGCCUAACACAUGCAAGUCGAGGGGUAACGAUGGCUUCGGCCAGGCGACGACCGGCGCACGGGUGAGUAUCGCGUUUGUAACCUGCCUCUAACUGGAGGAUAGCCCGAAGAAAUUCGGAUUAAUACUCCAUAAAGCCAUGAUUUGGCAUCAUUUCAUGGUUAAAGCUCCGGCGGUUAGAGAUGGGCAUGCGUGACAUUAGUUAGUUGGUGAGGUAACGGCUCACCAAGACAACGAUGUCUAGGGGGUCUGAGAGGAUGGUCCCCCACACUGGUACUGAGACACGGACCAGACUCCUACGGGAGGCAGCAGUGAGGAAUAUUGGUCAAUGGGCGCAAGCCUGAACCAGCCAUGCCGCGUGAAGGAUGACAGCCCUAUGGGUUGUAAACUUCUUUUGUACGGGAAGAAACACUUCUACGUGUAGAAGCUUGACGGUACCGUACGAAUAAGCAUCGGCUAACUCCGUGCCAGCAGCCGCGGUAAUACGGAGGAUGCAAGCGUUAUCCAGAUUCAUUGGGUUUAAAGGGUACGUAGGCGGGAGAUUAAGUCAGUGGUGAAAUCCUGCAGCUUAACUGUGGAACUGUCAUUGAUACUGGUCUUCUUGAAUAUAGUUGAAGUAGGCGGAAUGUGUAAUGUAGCGGUGAAAUGCUUAGAUAUUACACAGAACACCGAUUGCGAAGGCAGCUUACUAAACUAUGAUUGACGCUGAGGUACGAAAGCGUGGGGAGCGAACAGGAUUAGAUACCCUGGUAGUCCACGCUGUAAACGAUGAUCACUCGUUGUUGGCGACAUAUUGUCAGCGACUGAGCGAAAGCAUUAAGUGAUCCACCUGGGGAGUACGAUCGCAAGAUUGAAACUCAAAGGAAUUGACGGGGGCCCGCACAAGCAGCGGAGCGUGUGGUUUAAUUCGAUGCAACGCGAAGAACCUUACCAGGGCUUGACAUGUAGGUAGUAGUGAAGCGAAAGCGGAACGAUCCUUCGGGAAGCCUACACAGGUGCUGCAUGGCUGUCGUCAGCUCGUGCCGUGAGGUGUUAGGUUAAGUCCUGUAACGAGCGCAACCCCUGCCGUUAGUUACAAGUGUCUAA
rnacentral:rRNA from 1 species